rnacentral:rRNA from 1 species
AACGUAGGUGGCGAGCGUUAUCCGGAUUUACUGGGCGUAAAGGGUGUGCAGGCGGGCUGUUAAGUGGUGUAUGAAAUCGCCGGGCUCAACCGGGCGAGGUUAUGCCAGACUGGCAGUCUAGAGAGCGAGAGAGGGACGUGGAAUUCCGGGUGUAGUGGUGAAAUGCGUAGAGAACCGGAGGAACCCCAGAGGCGAAGGCGGCGUCCUGGCUCGCAUCUGACGCUCAGACACGACAGCAUGGGGAGCGAACGGG